CGCGAAUGGCUCAUUACAAUAGCUAAAAUUUACUCGAUCUUGACACAAUCCUACUUGGAUAACUGUGGUAAUUCUAGAGCUAAUACAUGCAUUAAAGCUCUGACCUUCGGGGAAGAGUGCGUUUAUUAGAACAAAACCAAGCGGCUUCGGCUGUUUUCGGUUGACUCAUAGUAACUGAGCUGAUCGCAUGGUCUUGCACCGGCGACGUGUCGUUCAAGUAUCUGCCGUAUCAACUUUCGAUGGUAGUGUAUCUGACUACCAUGGUGAUCACGCGUAACGGAGAAUAAGGGUUCGACUCCGGAGAGUUCGCCUGAGAAAUCGCGAACACAUCUAAGGAAGGCAGCAGGCGCGAAAAUUACCCACUCUCAGCACGAGGAGGUAGUGACGAAAAAUAACGAGACCGUUCUCUUAUGAGGCCGGUCAUCGGAAUGGGUACAAUUUAAACCCUUUAACGAGUAUCUAUGAGAGGGCAAGUCUGGUGCCAGCAGCCGCGGUAAUUCCAGCU
rnacentral:rRNA from 1 species